CACCCGCUGCUCUCUUCGUCACGCGCUCCCCUCCUCUUCCGCCCUGCUGCCUUGUCACCAGCUGCUGCGGGGACCGGGGAACCUCCGCGGGACCAUGGCCGGCCAGCAGGACAAGGCUGCCUUAAUUAGCGAAACCAGACGGCGCUUUGAGACUGAAUAUGUCCCAGAUAAAUCAGAUAAAUAUGAUUCCAGAGAUGUGGAAAGAUUGCAGCAAGAUGAUAAUUGGAUUGAAAAUUAUUUAAUUUGGCGUCAUGAUGUUGUGGAUGAUACACUGAAGAUGAUUGAUGAAAGCUUUCAGUGGAGGAAAGAAUACAUGGUCAACGAUUUGUCUGAAGCUGCCCUUCCAAAAUGGUUAUUUGAAAAUGGCGCUCUUUACCUGCAUGGAUAUGAUAAAGAGGGCUACAAGUUAUUCUGGUUCAGGGUGAAGUUUCAUACAAAAGAUCCUAAACUACAGUUUGAAAAAAAGAAGUUUGUAGCCUUUUGGUUAGAGCAUUAUGCCAGAAGAGAGCAUGGGAAGCCUUUAACAGUGGUGUUUGACAUGGCUGAAACUGGAGUCAGUCACAUAGACUUGGACUUCAUUCGGUUCAUCAUCAACUGUUUUAAAAUUUAUUAUCCUAAUUACCUCUCAAAGAUAGUGAUCUUUGAAAUGCCAUGGAUAAUGAAUGCUGCUUUUAAAAUUGUGAAGGGCUGGCUUGGUCCAGAUGCGAUAAGCAUGUUGAAGUUUGCAAACAAGAAUGAAGUGCAGGAAUACAUCAGUGCAGAGUAUCUGCCUGCCUACAUGGGUGGAAUUGAUACUUUUAAGUACAGUUACCCUCCAUUGGUUGAUGAUGAUUUUCAAACUCCAUUAUGUGAAAAUGGACCUAUUACUACUGAAGAUGAAACUGAAAGUAAAGAGGAGGCGGAAGCAGACAGCAAGGAGGCUGGAGAAUCCAGUGAAGAGCAAAUUCUCAAUGUGAAAAAGGUAUGUUCUGUAGAACAAAUUUCCAAACCAGACGAGAAUGACAAAACAGAUUCCAAAACAAAAAAUGCAAAGAAAGCGUUAACCAUUUUUAAAGGACCGUUAUUACAUAUAAGUCCGGCAGAAGAGCUGUUUUUUGGAUCCAAAGAAAUUGGAGAGAAAAAAUGCUUGAUAGUUCUCACAAAUGUGACUAAAAAUGUAGUGGCCUUUAAGGUGAGAACAACUGCUCCUGACAAGUAUAGAGUUAAACCAAGUAAUAGUAGCUGUGAACCUGGUACAUCAAUAGACAUAGUUGUAUCCCUCCAUGGUGGUUUUGCCGCUUCCCUGCAGGACCGUUUCCUGAUAAUGGCAGCAGAAAUGGACCAGGCUUCUGGAGCAGGCGUACCAGAAUUAGCUCAGUUUUGGAAAGAAGUCCCUAGAAACAAAGUGAUGGAACAUAGGUUAAGAUGUCAUGUUGUAGAAAGUAGCAAGCCUUCUACUCUGACAUUAAAAGAGAAUUCAUUUAAUAUUCCUACAAAAACCAAUGAAGAUUUACACUUACAGGUUCCUGACAUCUCCAGAUGGGAACCAGUAAUGGGAGGGAGAGGGGUGCACAGCCACAGCUAAGAACUUGAAAGAACGAGCACAGAGCUCAAAGUGGGUCUGCAUAUUGGAAGCAGUGCCGGUGGUCCUGUGAGAGACUCUCUCAAUCGAUACUUGGGGCAAUCCUUUAUGAUCUCAAUGUGAACACCGUCUAGCAACUGUGUCCAAUUCUAAGUUUAAAGACAGAUGAAGAGUAGUGAAAACUUUAUGAAAGACACAACAUUCUAAACAGAUUGAGCUCCGUAGUGAGGAGGUGUGGCCUCCCUUUGAGAUUGACCAGGAGGGACCACAACCUGCCACCUGCUGGGCAGAGCCAGGAAGGCCACGCCCUGCCUGCCAGAACUGGAAGGGCAGGACAGGAAGAGGAAGUAUAAAAGGCUGGCCCUGCUGCUCAGUUGGGCUGGAACUACCAAAGGAGAUAGACACAUCCUGCUUGCUUCUAGAUCCCAAAGGGGACCCCAGCCAUACCAAGGACUGGCAAGCACUCCCAGGUCACCGGCUGAUGGAGCUGCUGAGGAGCUGCUGGGGUUGCCCCCUGAGGACUGGCCAGAGCUGCCGGCCAACCGGGACACCGACGAGCUGCUGGGGCUGUUGCUGGCCACCUGCCCUGGGGAAAUGGAGGACAACUACAAUGUAGAGGGACUAAGCCCCGGGGAUUUAGAAAGUAGCCCAGAGAAACUUGACAACAUUCUGUUGAGUGUUGGCCUGUUACAAGGUCAGCAUGUUGUGGGCACAUCCCCGCUGAUCCAGUGGCGGACCACUCUGCCACUGUAAGGGCUCUGGGCUGGGAUGCAGUGGAGUUGUGUGGGCCGAUUGGCCCCCUACCCCUACCUCUCCACCCCCGGGAUGGCAGCCUCCCCACCUUAGGCCAGGAAGCCUGUGUUAGUCUAUCAUCCACAGAGCUAGGACACAGACGGUGUUGGUGCUCACCCCUGCCUGAGUCCCUAAAUGGUGUUGGUGCUCAACCCUGCCUGAGGGCCUAGGACUUCCAGACUUUGUUGCUCUGUCCUGCUUGCAGGCCAGAGCCCCCUAGAUUAUUUGCUACCCCGCCCUGACUGAAGCCCAGGGCUCAUAGACUGCUUUACAGUGCCCUCUGUUGGAUAGAAUUAGAACUGCUCAACUGUGUGUCAAAAGUCCUGUAUUCCUAGCAGCUAAUGGAGAUUCUCUUUUGGAUCAAGUAGUGUGGGAGCCUGUGCUUUUGGAACAGAAGUAUGCCAGUUCAUUGUCUGCUGCUGCCGCCAUGAAGUCCUGUCUGCCUACCAUGUGAAGCAUAGUGACAAAAAUGAAGUUUGAGACUUUCUAACUUCCCAGGCCAGAGGAACAUUCCAGCAGACCAGUACAAAUGCCCUAAAGGACCAGCAAAUAAAUAUUCUUAUAACUCCUUCUGGAUUAAUGACAAGAAAGAAAAAAUGUUGAACCCCGAGUCCAUGUUUGGAGAGAAGCUUGCUUUACCUUACUUUACAUGCUUUUGUUAGCCAUUACUCCUGAAACACACUCCACCUUUCUUCGCUACUAAAUAAUACACUGGUUUUGCACACUGUGCUUGAUUUGCUUACACUGGUUUUAUAUCAGUGUAAUUCCAUUGACUUCAACAGAUUUACUCCUAAAGCUAAUAGGAACCAAAGAAAGACAUUCUCCUUCAAGGUGAAGAUUCAUAUGGAUUCUCACCCCAGUGAUGAGUUGGCCCCAACAAUGUCUUGGCUGUGACAUCAAUGACUAGUGUCUGUGUUUGGUGUCUCUAGUGCCUAGGGAAAAGGCACAACCCAGAGGUGACCUAUAUACCUUGCCUUCUCCAGUUAAGCCUGCAAGAACUGGGAAGCUGUCUCAAAUUCCUAUUCAUGGCGGAGGCUCUUAAGGUCCAAUCAACUGAGUCUAGAACAGAACAUUCAGUAUGUUUGGGGUAAAAGGCCAUCUCCAUUGCUAUGAUCUGUCUCUCAAAGCAGCUUCUUCAGACCUGGCAAUUGGCCAUGUUGACGUGUGUGACCUUGCCCAAAUGAAAGAGGCUCAAGACAGUCAGUGCCAGUAGCAUCUCACCAUCAAGCACUGCUCAGUGGACUCAGCAAGCUGACCUGGCAUUGUCUCAUUGUCUCCUGGCUAGAAAGACAGGUUUACCACUCCCAUUCUAUGUGUUGUUUUGGGAGCAAGGCAUGGGGCUGAGACCCAAUCUUCCUCCUGCAAUAUCUUGUUCCAGAGGGAGGUCAACACAGGUGAGGCUGUGACAUUGGCUCCCUCACAGCUGGUUUCUGUGGUACUGAAGAAUAUGGAUGCUUUUCUUGUUUGUUUGUUACUGUAUCUCAGCAGCCAGAUACUAUUGGUCAUUUCCUGUUGACAUUAUGGUAGCACUUAGAGGACCCUGAAGUUAAAAGCCUCAUUGUGCUAGGCACUGCACACAUAUGUAAGAGAAAGUCCUUGUCCUGAAGAGCUUCCAAUCAGAACUGAAUAGACAAUACAGACAAGGCUACACUAGGGAUAAACUUGACUCCUUUUAUCUAAACUACUGGAUCACUUUUCACACAAAGCCAAAAAUACUGGAUAUGCUUAAUAGCAAAGGACACACUGUCAGAAAAAUUAGAUGCUGUGUUAAAAGCAAAAAAGAGCUCCUCUGUUGUACCAGCCAGACCUACGAACUGACAUGCAGCUAUUCUGCAAGAAGAGCACAGUCAAAUUAUUAUGGUACUUGCAAUUUCAAAGGAAGCAUCAAAACAAGUUUUUUCCUUUAGCUUUUUCAUAGGUCUGAGAAAUGCUUGAAGUACUUAGUCAAAAGCAUCCUAUGUAAUUUGUGAGGCAUUCUGCCAAAAGGAAAGAGAAAACAUGUCAAUAUUGUCUAUUCAUUGGUAACUUAACCCUUGAUUUAUUUCAUGAAUAUUUAAAAAGUAGCUGAUAUGUAUAUAAAUGUGGGGAGGGAAGAGUAUUUAUAUGUGUGUAUGUAUAUAUAUCUAUCUAUCCAGGGCAAGAUCCUGACCUAUUUGGGAGAAAAUACUUGGAAAGGCCAGCAGACUUCAUGAGUUUCAAAUGUAGAGUUAACUUGGAAUCAUCCCAUUAAAAAAGUUUCAUACUUGUCCCCUUUGCACUGUACAAUGGGCCCAGGGAAAUCUGUGGGGAAAAUUCCAGAAGUCUCGAGGCAUUCACCGAGGGCAGACAUAUGUCUCUGGAGUACUCCCACACCAAAAUGAAGUCACAUGUGGGACUAGCCCCUGAAAGCAGGCCAUUGAAAUAGGCAAGGUUUACAUGUUUAAUAAGGUCAGCAUUCAUUUCCACUGGUAUUUCUCCUUAGGUGUGAAGAAAUAUGACUCCACAGAGCACCCUUCCAGAUUAGCCCUUCCCCACUUUCUUUUCUCCCAUUCCUCUCACCCAGAGGCCCAAAUACACAGAGACCACAAGCAGAAGUUUCCACAGAAUCAGAAGAAAGGGGAUGAUGCCACUUAACCCCUUUCUGAUACAAAUCCAGGCUAUUUCUAUAGGUUUUCAUCCUUUUCCUAUGGGAACAGAGGAAGGGGAUUAUCUGCUCCCAAUAGUAGUCCAAUUAGGCUCCAUCAGGACUUAAUUUUGUUUGACACCAAGUUAAUUCCCUUCUCAGUUUCUCUCAGUGCAUCUAGUCUUCUCUGUGUCACAUCUCUUGCACUGUAAGCCGUUCACUGCAGCUCUCAUAUUCAUUUAGGCUGAAGUCUUGACUCCACUGAAGUUAAUAGUAAAACUUCCAAUGACAUUAAUGGAGCCAGAAUUUCACCCUUUGUGUCCAGUACAGCACCACACACAUUACCUGGUUACCAAAUAACAGUAACAAUAUUAAUCGAAUUGUCCAGUUUAACACACAACAAUAAUAAGCCAGUAUUUUUAUGCUUGGCGGCUCUUUAAAUCAUAUAUCAGAUUCUGAGGCUUUGGAAUGUAUUAAUGUGUAACAAAUCUCAACAAAGUACAUAACCUAUUUAUUAAUUUAUAUAGUCUCCAAUCAGGAUGAGAGACAAAAUUCAAGGUUGUCCUGUAGGCAACUAAUGCUGAGUUAGAGAAAGUCAAUAAUGCAAGUCAGAUAUUAUUCUGCCUUGCUUCUCCUUGUGGUUGGAAAACCUUUGAUCACAUCAUAAAGCAAGAUCCUUGAAGAUCAAAGAGGUCUUUAUUGCUAGGCUUCCUAUCAAAUUAGGAUGGAGCCUAAGCAUACAAAAGUUGGCAUGAAUGAAUAAAGAAGUCAUUCUAAAACCUUAGACAACAGCUUCUCAUGAUUUUAUGGAUUCUAGGAGGAAAGAACUUUGACAAGAUUAAGUCAAGUUGGUACAAAAGGAACAGAGAAAAAAAUGCAAAAGCAACAUCUGCCCUUGUCCCUAACUCAGGCUAUGUCUAUACUACGCACCUUUUAGUGACACAGCCGU